AAUAUUUGACAAUGGGCGAAAGCCUGAUCCAGCCAUGCCGCGUGUGUGAAGAAGGUCUUCGGAUUGUAAAGCACUUUAAGUUGGGAGGAAGGGCAGUAAGUUAAUACCUUGCUGUUUUGACGUUACCGACAGAAUAAGCACCGGCUAACUUCGUGCCAGUAGCCGCGGUAAUACGAAGGGUGCAAGCGUUAAUCGGAUUUACUGGGCGUAAAGCGGCGGUAGUUGGUUUGUUAGGUUGGAAGUGAAAGCCCGGGGCUAAACCUGGAACCGGCUUGAAAAACUGGAAAGCUGAGGUAGGGCAGAGGGUGGUGGAAUUUCCUGGGUACCGGUGAAAGGCGUGAAAAUAGGAAGAAACACAAGUGGCGAAGGCGACCACCUGGCUAAUACUGACACUGAGGUGCGAAAGCGUGGGGAGCAAACAG
rnacentral:rRNA from 1 species